rnacentral:rRNA from 1 species
CGCAAUUCGUGCUAAGGUAGCAUAAUCAUUUGUCUUUUAAAUAAAGACUAGAACAAAAGAUUUAACAUUUUAAUAUAAUUAUUUUAAUAAACAAUUUAAUCUUUUUUUAAUGUAAAAAAACAUUAAUUCAUUAGAAAGACGACAAGACCCUAUUGAACUUAACUUUAGUUAAACUGGGGCAGUAAAUUAAUUAUAAUUUUAAUUAUUAUAUAAUAAUAAAUAUCCAAAUCAAUUGAUUAAUCCAGUUACCAUAGGGAUAACAGCGCAAUUAAAUUUUUAAGUUCUCAUAUAAAAUAUAGAUUACGACCUCGAUGUUGAAUUAAUAACCUAAUUUAAAGCAAAUAUUAAAAAAGGAAGUCUGUUCGACUUUUAAACAAUUACAUGAUUUGAGUUCAGACCGGUGUAAGCCAGGUCGGUUUCUAUCUUCUUAAUAAUUUUUACAGUACGAAAGGACCUAAUAAUUUAAAAUUUUUAAUAAAUUGGCAGAUAAAUGCAUUAGAAUUAGAAUCUAAUUAAUCUUAA